rnacentral:lncRNA from 1 species
UAAGUGCAGAAACGAAAUAAAAUAGAUUAUGAUUAAUAUCCCUUACAGAAUAACCAAAACGAAUUAAACGUAUGAAAGAAUAAGCUAAUUAAAGAAAAUACUAUGAAUGAAUACUAUAAGGAAAACUAAUAAAUUCUUAUGCUUCUACUCGCCGUCUUCCUGCAGAACGGGCUCGGGAACCAAGUUCUCCUGAUUUGAAAUGGAUAAG